rnacentral:rRNA from 1 species
UACGGGGGAGGCAAGCGUUGUUCGGAAUUACUGGGCGUAAAGGGCUCGUAGGCGGCCAACUAAGUCGGAUGUGAAAUCCCCAGGCUUAACCUGGGAACUGCAUCCGAUACUGGAUGGCUUGAAUUCGGGAGAGGGAUGCAGAAUUCCAGGUGUAGCGGUGAAAUGCGUAGAUAUCGGGAGGAACACCAGUGGCGAAGGCGACUUCCUGGCCUGUUCUUGACGCUGAGGCGCGAAAGCUAGGGUAGCAAACGGG